AUACGUAGGGUGCAAGCGUUAUCCGGAUUUACUGGGCGUAAAGGGUUUCGUAGGCGGUCUAAUAAGUCAUUUGUUAAAGCCCCUGGCUUAACUAGGGAGAGGCGAAUGAUACUGUUAGACUAGGGGGUUGGAGAGGAUACUGGAAUGCUUGGUGUAGGAGUGAAAUCCGUUGAUAUCAAGCGGAACACCGAGGGCGAAGGCAGGUAUCUGGACAACCCCUGACGCUGAGGAACGAAAGCUUGGGGAGCAAACCGGAUUAGAGACCCGGGUAGUCCAAGCCGUAAACGAUCCCUGUUAGUUGGUCCUACUUUAGUGGGACUGACGGAGCUAACGCGUUAAACAGGGCGCCUGGGGAGUACGACCGCAAGGUUAAA
rnacentral:rRNA from 1 species